CACGUAGGGCGCAAGCGUUGUCCGGAUUUACUGGGCGUAAAGCGUGCGUAGGUGGUUCGUUAAGUCCGUUGUGAAAGCCCCGAGCUCAACUUGGGAAUUGCAGUGGAUACUGGCGAGCUGGAGUGCGGUAGAGGAAGGUGGAAUUCCCGGUGUAGUGGUGGAAUGCGUAGAUAUCGGGAGGAACACCAGUGGCGAAGGCGGUUGCCUGGAGCUUUGCUGACGCUGAUGCGCGAAAGCGUGGGGAGCGAUCCGG
rnacentral:rRNA from 1 species